GGCCUAACACAUGCAAGUCGAGCGGUAGCACAGAGAGCUUGCUCUCGGGUGACGAGCGGCGGACGGGUGAGUAAUGUCUGGGAAACUGCCUGAUGGAGGGGGAUAACUACUGGAAACGGUAGCUAAUACCGCAUAAUGUCGCAAGACCAAAGUGGGGGACCUUCGGGCCUCAUGCCAUCAGAUGUGCCCAGAUGGGAUUAGCUAGUAGGUGGGGUAACGGCUCACCUAGGCGACGAUCCCUAGCUGGUCUGAGAGGAUGACCAGCCACACUGGAACUGAGACACGGUCCAGACUCCUACGGGAGGCAGCAGUGGGGAAUAUUGCACAAUGGGCGCAAGCCUGAUGCAGCCAUGCCGCGUGUGUGAAGAAGGCCUUCGGGUUGUAAAGCACUUUCAGCGGGGAGGAAGGCGAUAAGGUUAAUAACCUUGGCGAUUGACGUUACCCGCAGAAGAAGCACCGGCUAACUCCGUGCCAGCAGCCGCGGUAAUACGGAGGGUGCAAGCGUUAAUCGGAAUUACUGGGCGUAAAGCGCACGCAGGCGGUCUGUCAAGUCGGAUGUGAAAUCCCCGGGCUCAACCUGGGAACUGCAUUCGAAACUGGCAGGCUAGAGUCUUGUAGAGGGGGGUAGAAUUCCAGGUGUAGCGGUGAAAUGCGUAGAGAUCUGGAGGAAUACCGGUGGCGAAGGCGGCCCCCUGGACAAAGACUGACGCUCAGGUGCGAAAGCGUGGGGAGCAAACAGGAUUAGAUACCCUGGUAGUCCACGCCGUAAACGAUGUCGAUUUGGAGGUUGUGCCCUUGAGGCGUGGCUUCGGGAGCUAACGCGUUAAAUCGACCGCCUGGGGGAGUACGGGCCGCAAGGUUAAAACUCAAAUGAAUUGACGGGGGCCCGCCCAAGCGGGGGAGCAUGUGGUUUAAUUCGAUGCAACGCGAAAAACCUUACCUGGGCCUUGACAUCCAAAGAAA
rnacentral:rRNA from 1 species